rnacentral:lncRNA from 1 species
CAAGGCAUAUGGUAAGAGUUGCCUUCUCUAUUUCAUCCUAUUUCUAAAAGGCUUAUGUGGAGUUCAAGGUAGGGAUGAAAGGAGAUAGCAUACUUACUUUGCAUGUAUUGCGAAGUCAAAGCUCGGAUCCUUGAAGAGAAGUGUCAUACUCCCAGAUCAAGAUGUGCAAGUGUGAUAUAUGGUGGACUAGGUUGCUCCUUUAUUUGAUAGACUCUCUAUGUAUUGAGACAUGGCUAGCAUUUUUUUCUUCUUUUUUUUUAUAUAUAUGAGCUUUCAUGUGCUCAAUUUUCUUUUUCUGUGGACUUGCACAUGUCCAUCUUUUUAUUUCAUUUUGCCUAGCCCUUUUGAUGUCUCAUUUACCAAAUAAUGCUUAGAGAGAUGUUCUAACAUUUAGAGUAUGGAGCAACCUAUUUAGUGGAUGCGAAAUACAUGUGGUUGCGUACUUCCAGUGUAGAAGCAGCAUAUAUAUAUGUGGUGUGUACGUGAUCUUGAUCUUAGGAGCAUAAAAAGUCUCUUAACAAGGGUCAACAAGACUUGACGACACUCAACACAAAGCAAAUAGCUUAUGUGGAAAGGUUGCAAUUAUGUAAAGUAGAUAUGGCUGUGGUAGGAAUUCAUCACCAUUGAGGAACAAUUAAGGUUUUGAUCAUUUUAAGAAUAAAUCUCUGAUAAUCAUGCAUGCUUAGAAAAAUAUUAUAGUAGCUCUUGUCUUACUAUCUCAUGUCCCACAACAACUUAGACUUAGUUCUAGCACUUGCAACCCACAAAGUUUUUAGGUUCAUGGCAGUUUAAGUGAGCUAAGUGAUCCAUACUUAGAGAAAUACUAAGUUGUAUACUAGGCACUAGAGAAACAUUAACAAGCAACUAGUCAUAAUUUCCAUGAGGGAUAUAAACAUACAUGAAGCAUAUAUGCUAAAGGGAAAUGCUAAUAAAUAUUUAUUUAUUUUAUUUUAUUUUUUUUUUAAGUAAGAAUGAUAAAAUGCAUGAAAAUAAAUAGGAUAGAAUACUUACCUUAGUGGGGGAGAGGAUCUCCCCCAAGCUAGAUCUUCGCUCACUGUGGUGGCGGGAAAUUCUGGUACCAUCCAGCCCAGCGUUGUGCGUCUUCCUCUCGCACACGUCGGAUAUGUUGGCCGUUUUGUAACGCCAGUUGCAAUGUUGCUUCUUGCCCAAUCUGCAAUUCGCCCAUGUCAUUAAUGAGACUGUCCAUACCUAUGGGCUGGUGAUGCCUAGCCCUGCCCCUUGGGCGUGGAGUGCGUUGUGGAGGUAGACCCAUGGAGUCUGAAGCAUCUACUGACAUCGCUUCAUCGCCCUCUUCAACGUCAUGGUGCGAGGAUCCUCCUUGCUCCAUCUGGGCGGCUUGCAUCAUCCUUCUUGUCACCCUGCGUGUCCCUGCAACAUCUGGACUUGCCACUCGGGCUAGUCUAAUGGUAAGUGUGCGGACCCCAUACAACCGGCGCCUCGCACAUGGGAGAGGAAUUUCGGUUGUAUAGCCCGGAU